AUCACCUCCUUCAUCUCUCUGUUGAGACCAAUAUAGAAAAUCCGUUCCAAGUGAUGAUCAUCCAGUCCCAAAACCUGAGCUGAUAAAUCUUCAAACUCCGAUACGUAAUCAGCUACAGAACCAGUUUGCCUGAUAGAAAACAAGCGCGUGCUCGGCUCAUCCUCAAUAGAUUCAGAGAAGCGCACAAACAAGCUCUGUUUGAAAUCCUUCCAACUCCUAAAGCCACCACGAUGCAUCACCCACGCAAACCACUUCUUCAAAGCACCUUUCAAACAUAGCGGAACCAGAUCCAAUCUCGCCUCCUCA
rnacentral:lncRNA from 1 species